rnacentral:rRNA from 1 species
GACGAACGCUGGCGGCGUGCCUAAUACAUGCAAGUCGAGCGGACUUUCCGGAAUGUUGGUACUCCGGUAUGUGAGGCGGGCGGGGGAGAAACACAUGGAUACAACCCCUACAAGAGUCCGGUAAAUUAUUGGGAAAGGAGCUAAUAUAGGAGAAUGACUUGCAUCGCGUAGGUGGAGAGCGGGAGACGGGCUUGAAGUCGCUUCUUAUGGGUUCCGCGCUGCAUUAGUUGGUUGGUGAGGUGACGGCUUACCAAGGCAACGAUGCAUAGCCGACCUGAGAGGGUGAUCGGCCACACUGGAACUGAGACACGGCCCAGACUCCUACGGGAGGCAGCAGUAGGGAAUCUUCCGCAAUGGGCGAAAGCCUGACGGAGCAACGCCGCGUGAGUGAUGAAGGUCUUCGGAUCGUAAAACUCUGUUAGGAGGGAAGAACAGAUGUGUAAGUAACUGUGCACACCUUGACGGUACCUAAUCAGAAAGCCACGGCUAACUACGUG